rnacentral:tRNA from 1 species
CAGAAUAUAGUUAAUAUAUUAUAAUAUAAAUUUUGGGUAUUUAAGUAUUAUUUUUUUAUAAUUUUCUGU